rnacentral:rRNA from 1 species
UACGAAGGGUGCAAACGUUGCUCGGAAUUAUUGGGCGUAAAGCGCACGUAGGCGGCUUUGUAAGUUGGAUGUGAAAUCCCUCGGCUCAACCAAGGAAGUGCAUCCAAAACUGCGGAGCUUGAGUACUUAAGAGGAUCGCGGAAUUCCCGGUGUAGAGGUGAAAUUCGUAGAUAUCGGGAGGAACACCAGUGGCGAAGGCGGCGACCUGGGCCAAUAUUGACGCUGAGGUGCGAAAGCGUGGGGAGCAAACAGG